GACCCUGCCCGUGCUGCAGUCCACACAGGAGCCCGGACGCGGGGGUCGUGCUGCCCCUUUGAGAUGGGAGCGCUGCCUGAGUGUCAGGCAGCCCCCGCUUCUGUGUCGUCCCUCCGUUAAUUUCCCUCCAGUUGUGUUCUGUGUGUCCCCAGGACGCUUCAGCUCCGAGUCACUGCUGCUCAAGAGUUCAGUCAGCCACUCAAAGCCUAGCAGGAUAGAGACCUAAAAAAAUCCCAUUCUCGUUUAAGAGAUGGCCAAAAUAGCUCUGUAAUGAACAGUUUUAAGUCAUUAUCCAUACACCUGAAGAAAUCACAGCGGGGCACGUGCAGACCCGGGGCCCCACUCCCAGCUCCCCGUCCCCGGGAGCCCGCGGGUGAGAGGCACAUCCUGGGGAUGUGGCGCUGCUGGGGGCAUAGUCCCCACUGCCAGCCAGCCAGACACCCCGUCCUUCUGGCGGGAAAGGUGUUGGCCCGCGCUGCCGGUGGGCACUGGCUGGGCAUGGAGAGUCGGGCCGGGCGUGUGCUGCCGCGGCUGUCGGGAGCAUCGCCCUGAGCUCAGUCGCGGGCGGCGGCGGUGUCGGGUGCUCGCAGAGCCUCCCAAAGCAGGGUCACUAACAGCCGCCAGGGGGCGCCCUUCUGCCUAAGAUCUUCCCCUCAAGGCUUGGUUUCUCCUCUCCCCUGGCUUCUGCUGUCCGUCCCCUGUCGGCCUUGUAGUCCGACCUUUUGUCUUCGGGAAGCUCUGCCACUAAGGAGGCUAAACGGUUUGAACUUACCUCCGAGCUUAGGAAGGUAGAACGUGUGCCUCGCGCGUCCCACGCUUGCCGCUGCCUGCUGCCCGCGCUGGCUCACCACAGGCAGUCCGAGGAGGGGGCGCAGCGGCCGCGGGUGCGGAGCCCGGGGCAGGGGGGAGCACGUCUCCUCUCACGAGCCGGUCACCAGCACCCUCCGUGAGCCAUGUGUCACACACGAAGCCGCGCAGGCUGCGUGAGCAGGCGUGCGGGCAGGUCCCCCGCAAACCCGGGGUAGUGGUCCGCACAGAGCAUGGCCCGCUUGCCGCCCCUGCAGUCACAGCCCGCGUGUCGUCAGGACAGGGUCGUUGCGAGCGGAGCUGACACUGUUCUUGGCCGACAGGGAGAGAGACACGGCAGCAUCAAGGAGAGGCUGCGCCAGAUGGAGGCCCAACUGGAGGAGAACAAGUGGUCAUGUGUGGAUGUGAGAGUUGGACUGUGAAGAAGGCUGAGCGCCAAAGAAUUGAUGCUUUUGAACUGUGGUGUUGGAGAAGACUCUUGAGAGUCCCUUGGACUGCAAGGAGAUCCAACCAGUCCAUUCUGAAGGAGAUCAGUCCUGGGAUUUCUUUGGAAGGAAUGAUGCUAAAGUUGAAACUCCAGUACUUUGGCCAUCUCAUGCUAAGAGUUGACUCAUUGGAAAAGACUCUGAUGCUGGGAGGGAUUGGGGGCAGGAGGAGAAGGGGACGACCCAGGAUGAGACGGCUGGACGGCAUCACUGACUCAAUGGACAUGAGUCUGAGUGAACUCCGGGAGAUGGUGAUGGACAGGGAGGCCUGGCGUGCUGCAAUUCAUGGGGUCGCAAAGAGUCGGACAUGACUGAGUGACUAAACUGAACUGAACUGAAUAACCAAUGAAAAAAGUAUAUAACUCCCUUGCUAAGACUAGCAAGAGGGACACUCUCCGUCCCCCUCCUGAUGUCUAUCUCAGAAGCUUUCUCUGUCCCUUUUUCACUUUAGUAAAUCUCUGCUAAAUAAAAAGCUCUUAAGUGAUCAAUUGUGUUCCCUGGUGCCAAAACUAAAUCUUCAGAGAUCAUGAAUCCAACAUCCUUCACUGUGAGAGAGUCAGUUCCUAGGCAGAUUGAUAGAAAGUUCAGGGUCCCCAUGGAAGAGAAAGGGGUCUGGGGCUCUCAAAGUGGAGAUUGGGGGUCUGGAAUUCCCAAGGAGGGGAAAA
ensembl:lncRNA